ensembl:lncRNA
GUGUUGGAGGUGUCAGUGUUAGAGGUGUCUGUGUUAGAGGUGUCAGUGUUAGAGGUGUCUGUGUUAGAGGUGUCAGUGUUAGAGGUGUCUGUGUUGGAGAUGUCAGUGUUGGAGGUGUCUGUGUUAGAGGUGUCAGUGUUAGAGGUGUCUGUGUUAGAGGUGUCUGUGUUGGAGGUGUCUGUGUGGUGUAUGUCUGUGUUGGAGGUGUAUGUGUGGUGUAUGUCUGUGUUGGAGGUGUCUGUGUUGGAGGUGUCUGUGUUGGAGGUGUCAGUGUUGGAGGUGUCUGUGUUGGAGGUGUCUGUGUUGGAGGUGUCAGUGUUGGAGGUGUCUGUGUUGGAGGUGUCAGUGUUAGAG